UGUGAUUUCAUUGGUAGAGAAAGGAAACUCCCUCCACCAGUGAGAACCAAUACCUGCUCUGCAGUUUAUAGAGUGGAAAGUUGCUGAGGCAAAGUUACCUUGAGAGGUGGCUCGAGGACUCUCUCCCCAGCCGUGGCACCACCCUCCUCCCCACCCCCCAGUUACAGGCUAUGUGACCACUGCCCUUGGCCCAAGAGCCCCAGCCCUCUGCCGUCUCAUCCCCAUCUGGGAAGGGGAGCCCUGGAUCUGGACAGCUCUGGCCUGGGUAUGCCCAGCUCUGGAUGGGGGAGGAGGGGGUACAUUUAAAUAUUCACACAGAGCUGAGGGGGAGAAGCCUGAACUGCUGGCCUGAGUGUGGACGCUUCUACCCCAGAAUGUCGGUGACCAGUCUAUCCUGUAAAAGGGACUGAGGCUAGGAACCUCCCUCUCUCCAUCCGACGUGUCCGGAGGAUGGAGAGUCGAGAGGAGAAGAAGAGAGGGUGAAGAAGUUUAUCUGGAUGUGGGAGCACAGGGGGAAAAGUCUGAGGUCCAAGAUUUCCAACCACUUUUAGGACAUCCCAUUGCUCAGAGGGGGAAAACUGAGGCUGUGGACACCACACAAGAACAGGACCCUGCCCAGGUAACCUGCUUGGCCGGAAACUUCUCCAGGAUUGAGCCGGGGUCUCCUGAAAUUUUCUAAGUGGCUCCUCAAAUCUGGGCUGUGGCAGAGGUGGUCAUGAAAGAAAAAACUACCUCCCCUGCCCCUUAGAGCUCCUCCCCAACUGCCAUGUCUCCACAGGUCCCCUCCAUUCCCACCUGAUCCCACUCUAAUGCAGAGUGGCCAGGCCUUUGCCUCGGGGGUGGUGGGGAAGGAAAGGAAUGAGGAGUGGGGUGAAGCCGGCUGCUGUCCCACCCUUGUCACUCACCUGGGAUUCCUGGAGGCCCCGGCUGCCCGGGAUGCCCAUGACCCUCAUCCCCUCGUUCUCCUUUCUCUCCGCGUUUCCCUGCCAAGAGCAAAGGAGGCUCUCAGAGCUCGGCUCCCCCUGCCCAAGGCCAGCAGGGAGGAGCCAGGAAGGAGCAAGGCCAGGGCCAGAGGAGAGGUUCCGAACCCAGGGCCCUGUUUCCUCAUCAGAUGAUGUCUCUCCCUUCCAAGUAAGAAGCCCCAGAUGAGCCUUGGAGGAAAGCUAGGAAGGAGAGCAGGCAGCUGGGGGAGGGGGGUGAGGAGGGGAUAUGGGCACCUACAUACAGGUGCCCCAAAGCAUAGCAGGAGCCCUCCAUCCAGCAUGCCACUUCUGUGCAACAAACAUGUUGUUUGUUGUUAUCAUUCCCUUUUUUAUGGUGUGCAGGCCAAGAUGGCCUUAGGACAAGUAGCUCUACUAUUAUCCUUAGCAGUCUUAUUGUCACUAUUUUUUUCAGUAAGCAUUUAUGAAGCCCCUGCUAUAUAAUAUAUAUGCAUGUGAGUGGGGGGGGGCACUGCGCUGGGUGAUAGGAAUACAGGUACAAAAGUGAACCAAUUCCUGCCCUCUAGGAGCUUAUAUUCUACAGGAGGAUGCAACAUGCUUACAGAGAGUAAGUACAGGAUAUAUACAAAUGAAUACACUGGGGUUUUGGUGGGGAGGCAUUAACACCUGGGGAAAUCAGGAGAGACUACUUGAAUAGCACUCCAAGGCUUACAGAAUGCUUCCUCCACAACAACCCUGUGAGAUAGGGAGAGUAAAGGUUGUUAUCCUUGUUUUUUCAGAUGAGGAAACUGAGGCCCCAGUAGGCCAUAUGGUAGAGCCAAGACAAGAACAAUCCAGGUCCUCUAAUUCCCUCAGCACAGUGCUGGGCACAAAGCAGGUUGUUGACUGAUUGACUGCCUCUGAGUCCAACACACCUGGCCCUUCCUGUGCGCCUUGGAACCAGUCCCAGCUCCCAGGCUCCUUGCAGGGCCCUUUUGCUUACUUACCCUUUGGUCCUGUGUUGCCGAUCUGUCCCACAGCGCCAAUGAUACCAGGGAUGCCUCGGGGGCCUGGGUGUCCGUGUGGCCCUUGCU